rnacentral:rRNA from 1 species
UACGGAGGAUUCAAGCGUUAUCCGGAUUUAUUGGGUUUAAAGGGUGCGUAGGCGGUCGGAUAAGUUAGAGGUGAAAUCCCGAGGCUCAACUUCGGAAUUGCCUCUGAUACUGUUCGGCUAGAGAGUAGUUGCGGUAGGCGGAAUGUAUGGUGUAGCGGUGAAAUGCUUAGAGAUCAUACAGAACACCGAUUGCGAAGGCAGCCUGCUGGACUGUAACUGACGCUGAUGCUCGAAAGUGUGGGUAUCAAACAGG